CCGUAGCUCAGUUGGAUAGAGCAACGGCCUUCUAAGCCGUGGGUCGGGGGUUCGAAUCCCUCCGGGC
rnacentral:tRNA from 1 species